CUUAGGGUUUGUGACAUGUGACCAAUUUUUGUACACUUUGCCAAAACAUUUGUGAAAUGAUGAGAAUGUAUCCACUGGCUCCCAAAUUUUUUGUGUUUAAACUAGACACACUCAUGGUGAUUUUGGUGUAGAGUUUGUGAAUUUAUCAUUUGUGGUUUGUGAGUUAUGAAUUUUUGAAUUAGGGUGUGACAAUUUGUGUCACACCAUUGAUGUCCAACUUCAUGAUUUUCAUUACCAUGCUUCUUGACCUCCAAUUGAUCUGAUUUUUGGUAUGAACCUACGCUUGUAUGUCUAGUUUACAUGUGAAUUUUCUUGGAAUUAUUUGUGGCAUUUCCUAAUUGUUUGAGAUUUUCUCCCCUGCCUAGUCAAUUGUUGACUUUGUGUGACACAUGUUCCCAUUUCAUUUGUGAAAUUCUCAUACUUUAUUGGAUGGACAUGAAAUUUGAUAUGUGAUAACUAGACAUACUCAUCUUUUCCAUGGUUCUGAUCCCAUUCAUUUAUCAUAUGCCAUCUCUGAUUUAUGAAUUUUCUAAGUUGAUACAUGUUUGGUUGACUUCUUUGAGCAUGUUCAAAAUUGCUUUGACUUUCUGAUUUUCAUUGACUGCCUUCCACUUGUCCAAAUGAGAUGAAAUUUGACAUGCUUACCAUGCUGUGGAUUGUGAUUGACUAUGAUUUAUUUGGUGAUUUUUGGAAAUGUUUGAGUUGACUUUUGAGUUAAGUCUUGCUGUUGACUCCUAUGAGCUUCUGUUUGCUAUACUUUGACCUAAAUUGUUCAUGAAAUGAUGAUAGUGAUUGAUAUGCAUGUGAACCCAAUUGUUUGUGUUUCUUGAAUGUUUAAACUUGACUUUGAUUGGAUAUCCCUUGCUGUUUUGGCUUUCUCAUUCAUUUUUGACCCUAGGCUUGCCCUAGUGGUCCUGUUACUCACUUUUGAGCUUGUGUUUUCAGGUUGGCCAACAAAUGACCAAUGAGACCAAUUAUUUUUUGUUUGAGCUUGCCUAAAUACCAUGACUAACUUGUGUGUUUUGUAGGUGGCUUGGCUCACAUGCCUUAAGCUUUGUGCCUUGCACAUCCAUUUGCUCCUGAUUAACUGUUGAUCUCUGUUUCUUUUGCUUUGUUUUGAAGUUACAUACUAACAUCUGCUUGACUGUUUCAGGUGCUUUUAGUUGCUUAGUUCCUUGUGAACUUUUUGCUUUGCUUUGCUUGUAUAAGCAAUUUGCAUUGAGACUACUGGAAUGGGAGCAACAACAAUCACAGUUCAAAUCUCAGUAAUUCAACAAGUCCCACAUGGAAGACCUCCGCCUUGAUUUCGUCGACAGCAAUCGUGCAUUAUUGAUUUCAAUUUCAACGAAAAGAGGUUUGGCAACGGGAUGCCGCAGGCUUGGUUUCUUGGUGUGCCAGCUAGUGAAUAGACCAUUUCACAAAGUUAGCAUGGUUUUCUCAUGUGACGUUGCAGGAUCAUGAUAGCUUUGGCUUCGAACUCCUACGCUUAACGUCGGUCUCAUCGUGCGCCAGGUUUGGGAAUUUAAUGGAAGGAAAUGCACUUCUCAUACACCAGCACGUGCCUCCCUUGGAUUAGCUAGCGUCACAACUAUGGCGGUGUCUAUUGCAUCUUGAUUUUCUAGUCUUGAAGCUCGAGCCAUCAUCAAAACAACGGUUUCAGUAUCCACUCCUUUUGCAAAAAACCUCAACAAGAUUUUUGUCGCAGUUAGAGGUCCAGUUCUAUUACUGCAAAGACAUCCAUGUCUGCCGUCCCUUCCAUGGCUGUCAUCCUCAUAUUCUGCCGAAUUGGCAUUGUCAUAACAUUCAAAUGCGGGCUGGUCCAGGACUCCCAAGGCAGCACGUUGAUUUUGGGUCAUGGUGCCGUUUGUUGAGCUACCAUUAGUGUGACGGUUCGCAUCAUCACAUAAACACGACAACGCAUUACUGCAAUAUUACCCUUUUUGCUUAUAUCAAGUUCUGUUGGUCGGAAUUUUGACUUGCUUUGAUGGAUUGAUACGGCGUGAAGUAUCCCGCAAAUGCUUGAAAAGCAGAAAUUAUCCUUGACAAUGCGUUCAUUUCAAACAGACUCAGACUUUCACCAGUGGCCUUUGCGCCAUUUCCUAUCAUGAUGACAGAAGUGAGAUCCCUAUCAGUUGAGCUAACAGCAACUAUAAGCAUCCACGGAGCAAGAUUAGUAGCAGAACUCAGAAUUCCUUCGUUUCCCGCAGGCGAAACAACAAGCACUCCGCGGUUAGUAGCCGCUGCUCCUCAAAACAGGAGCAUUGUACUUUAUUAAGAAACGUCCGACAAUGCUUGCUGUAGCAAGAGAACUUCCCAGGGGCCAAAAUGCUUGACAAGGAUGAACCCUUGUAGAACAAAGAACUCAGCGACCUUGUUGUGGAAUUUACUGCUGUUUUUUUGAAACAGGGAGUAAUGUCGACUGUGCGUCGGUGUUUGAGCGGGUCUCAUCUUUUGGUUAUUCUUUUGUAAAAUGGUCAAUAGUAUAUGGAACUCUCUUGAUGAUAUGCUCUACUAUAGACCUUGCAGUAGUUUUCACUUUAAAUUCAUUAUGUAUUUGUCUAAGAAUAACAUGCUCCAAAGUAGACAUUGAAGGUGUUUUCGAAACAUUUUUUUUUAUGAACUUGAUUAAACAACCAAGAUAACGAAUACCCAAUCAAUACUCCCACAACUCCAAUACUUGAUGAGACAAGUAGUGCUUUGCUUGUUGUUCCUUUACGUAUCUGUUGUUGACACGGUGAAAUAUUCCUCACGAGAACUUCACUGCUGUAGAAAUUGUAACCAUGUUAAUCUUAAAGUGAAGAAGCCAAGCACAAGUGGAUAAGCCAAAGAUAACAGGGACAUGGAUAAUGGAAUGAGAGUUAUGGCCAGCCAUUUAGUGAUUAGGGAUGACCAAUGGCAUAGGGUUGACUUUGGUCAAAGUUGACCAAAAAGUCAACUGUUGACCAAAGUCAACAAUUGGUCAAAAUUCAAAUUUAUUUGCAUUUUUUCUUGUAAAUGGGCGAAUGAUUGAUGAUUGUGGCAAAAAUUUAGAGUUUUUGGAUUUUGGGUGACUUUGGUCAAUGUUGACCAAAAAGUCAACUGUUGGUCAAAGUGUCAAUUUUUGUGUAUUUUUGUAUGGAAUCAAAUGUAAUGGUUGAAACAACGACAUGAAAUAAAUUGAAAUGGAUUAACAAAUGGUGGAGAUUGUUUUCACAAUUGGCUUGAAUGUUUGACUCUUGAGAAGAAAAUAACUUGACUGAUAAUGUGUAUGAACAAAACCAUGAAAUAAGACCAUAAGGUUAUAGUAUCCAUGAACCAAUAACGUGACUGGCAAGUGGUUAGAAACACAAGAAAACUUGGUUGUUCAGAUGACCCAGACCAUAGAUGUAUCCACAAUCACAACACCAUGACUUUGAAUCAAGACCAAUCCUCAUAUAAAAACAAAGCAAAGUUAGGUCAAGCAUGCCAAACGAACAUAAAAAUUCAGGAUCAAAAUCGGGGUAUGACACCUAUUUUUAGUAUUGUUAACUAUUUUGGGCUUUUAUAGUUUUGAGCUUUGAUUUGGGAGUAAGCUAACCUAAAUAUAUAAAUAGAGGGAGUAACCCAUAUUCUUGAUAGAACUCAUAACAUUGCAUUCACAU